AUUUUAAUCUCAAUUUUUUAGAGGAAUGCCAUCUUUCCUUCCUUCCUUAUUUAUUUAUUUAUUUAUUUAUUUAUUUAUUAUCCUAACUGUCUCGCUUAUAUUCUGGUUAUUUUUAGGUUUUGCUUAAUAAGUGAAUUAAUCAAUUCAUUAUUAUUCAUUAGAGAAAAGCUACUGGCCGGUCAUCUGCAAAACUCAUUUUUACAGUAGACCAAUAAUCAAGUGCCACAUAGGCACUUCAUGAAAAUCACUUGUACACCUACAUACACCCAAUAGGCACUUCAUUUCACGUAGACACACUUCCCCUCCCACCCCAUUCACUUCACGUAGACACACUCCCCCCCCCCCCAAUCUCCUCUGAUAUUGAGACCUCCUUUCUCUCCCAAUACAGUUCCUCCUCCCACCACGAUGGCGAUGACGGCAUUCAUAGGAAUAUGCAAGACCAAGAAUGAAGACUUCGGUGCUCCAUGGAGCUUUCAUAUAUCACAAGAUCAAUAGUUAUAGGGCUGAAUGUUAGAAGGCAUUUUGAAUGUAAGAAGGUAGUUUGAACUAUUAGCAUUAAAUGAGCUGACUUGGUUUUUGUAACAGUUAUAGGGCUGAUUUUGUAAGAAAGCUGAUUUUUGUAAGGAUGCAAAAAUAUUGUAUAAUUAAAUGUGGUUGCACUUCUAAACCAUAUCGUUGAUGUCAUGUAAUGGCAAAGUGUAUGUGUAUUCCAGAAGCAUGUAGGCUAUUUAAAUCAGGUUCUCUUUGUUGGGUUUGAAACACA